ACUAGCUCCUCGCACGCGGCCAUGGCGGACUCCGAGCUGCAGCUGGUUGAGCAGCGGAUCCGCAGCUUCCCCGACUUCCCCACCCCAGGCGUGGUAUUCAGGGACAUCUCGCCCGUCCUGAAGGACCCCGCCUCCUUCCGCGCCGCCAUCGGCCUCCUGGCGCGACACCUGAAGGCGACCCACGGGGGCCGCAUCGACUACAUCGCAGGCGAGUACCCAGUGGCCGCGUCUAGGGCGCUUAGGCCUCCACGCGCGCCGAGGGCAGCACGUGGGCUCUGCGCGUCUGCUUGGGGGAGGGCUUUUGGGGUCCUUCAGGGGGCGCCGGGACGGGCGCCGUGCUUGGGGUCGCCCGGGAAGGGUUGUGAGGUUGAGCUCCCGAGGCCGCUGCGCUGUGCAGGCGCCCUGCCCGCAGGUUCCGGGUCCCCAGCCCAGGACAGGUGUGACCGAGUCGCCGGGUCAGUUGGUCUCCCUGGAGUGCCCAAGCUGAAUCCACAGGGCCCAGCUGCCUUGCUUCUUGUUCCUUCUGUGAGCUGGUAUUGAGCGCCUGCCACGAGCCAGGCCUUUCCUGGUGAAGAUCACG
rnacentral:sRNA from 1 species